rnacentral:rRNA from 1 species
CCUUGGUUUAACUCAAAGGUGCAGCCUGCCCUAUGGUCUUCGACGCGUUUUGUGACUAAAACCUAAACAGAGACUAAAUGGCCGCGGUAACUCUGACCGUGAUAAUGUAGCGAAAUCAAUCGUCGUUUAAUUGACGACCCGUAUGAAAGGUUAAACGAAUCUCCCCCUGUCUCGAAAAUAAACCUCAUCGAAAUUGUAUGAGCAGUGAAGAUACUGCUAUCAGAUUGCUAGACGAAAAGACCCUAUAGAGCUUAACUAUAUUCUCGAUCCACAACUUACCCUAUGAAGAUAGGAGUGCAUCGAGAGUGGUAGUUUGGUUGGGGCGACCUUCUUCUAUAACAAACGAAGAUAGACAAAGGCACAUCGAUUUUAAAUCGCUUAAUUGUUUAAUCCAUAAAUUUAACAAAUACUAACGUAGGUAAAAAUGACCCGUUCUCCUCAAAAAAUAGAGAGAACGAUCAAUAAAUAAAAGCUACCUUAGGGAUAACAGCGUAAUCUUGUUCAAGAGUCCUUAUCGACGACAAGGUUUGCGACCUCGA